GAAAUAUUGAAAAUAUCUGUUGACAUCACAAAACCGUUUUUUUUUUUUUACCUCUCUAAAGAUGGGCCUACAUCAGUGUCAACAAAAGACAAAGCUACUUAUGCAGGUAAAACCUUUUUAUUAAAAAAAAACAAAAAAAAAACAGUGCACACAGAAGAAUGUACAGUCAUACUGUAUGAAACAGAGAAUCACCAGUCUCUUCCUGUGUGUGUCCUGUCAGAGAUUCAUAAGGCGAAGUUUGUUGAUGAUGAGGAUGAUGGCUGUAAUUGUGGAGGGGGUCUUUGUGGAUGUGGGCCAAACUGCUGUUCCUGGUGGAAGUGGCUGCUGGGGUUUUUGCUCAGCCUCCUGUUGCUCCUCGGCCUUCUGUUUGGACUCAUUGCUUUAUCUGAGGAGGUAAAGAAACUAAAGUCUCGUGUCAGUGCUCUUGAGGGAAUAUCCUCCUCCAUGAAAGCUCACACGAGUCGUCUGUCCGCUCCUAUUGAUGACAUUGGCAUAUAUAAAGAAGCUGGAAGUAAAGCGGCUUAUGUUAAUUCACUGGAUUCUGCAGUUUAUUCAGACAAUUCUGUACUGCAAAGAAAUGUACAGCAAAUACUUAGAGCAGAGCUGCAGUCUGAAGCCAUGAAAGGUACGUGUGAACACAGUUCUGCCUAGACACACAAACAACACAUGCACCUAAACAUGUACAUUGUUUAUAAAAUGUCACGCAUAUAUGCAUAUGUUUAAUACAAAUAAGAUUAAAUUUAAUACAUACUUUUUGUGUAUCUAGCCUUCCUUGCUUCUUCAGUUAAAGCUGAAAGAGGACUUCCAGGGCCUAAAGGUACACCAGAUAUAUAGUUUUUACUGAACUGCCAGUACAGAAAAUGUUAUUUAUACAUUCUAUGGAGAAUUAAUAGUCAGUAACCUGCUUUUCCAUCACUACUACAUCAGUCACACAUUUGCUCUUUUCACCACUUUUAGGUGACACUGGAUCUCCAGGAACAAAGGGUUUGUACAAUUUUAAAACUGGCUGUGAAAAGUCUGUUAGUUGAACUAUAUGUUUAUAUUGAUCUGCUUACAGUCUUAAACAUGAAAACUUAAAACAAUUUUAACUGUUUUUCAGGAGAUAAUGGUUUUCCAGGCCUUCCAGGUAUGAAUAAUGUUUGAUCCUCUGUAGAGCUAAUCUUAACAGUUGUGCAGAAUGAAGUCUUAACAGAUUUCAUUGCUUUUUGAUGUGCAUCUCUAGGUCCACCAGGAAUGCCAGGACAUCCAGGAAGAGAAGGACAAAAAGGAAGUGCAGGUACCUGAAACAUUAGGCAGCACUUUUAUUUUGUGGGAAAAUCAUUCACCAUCAUUAAUUCUGUGUUUAAAUCACAAAGUAAAUUAACAAGUAGCCCAAAAGAUAAGGCCUAGAGGUUAAGGUUUAGAAAUACAGUCCAUAAAUGCUGCAUCUGACAGGUGCUAAUACUGUAGCACUAACAAAUAACUUUAAAUAGUCAAUUCUUACAAUCCAGUUGACAGACUAGGCCCUACCUACAUUCAAGAUACAUCUCUUCUGUGAACACUUGACUCAGUCCUGUUAAUGCUCUUAGUUCUUUUGAAAAAAAGAAUGAACCUUUUCCAGAUGUUGCCUCAUCAAAACCUUAAAAUGUGUAUGACAGGUGAACGUGGUCCAGAAGGACCACCAGGUUUCAGAGCAAGAGAUGGUCAGCCUGGACCCCGUGGAGAGCCAGGACCCCCAGGGGCCGGAGAGAAGGGUGAAAGGGGUAAGAUACUGCAUACUUUGAGAAUAUGGCUCUUGAAACAUGAUCCUAGCAUUUAAUUUUU
ensembl:lncRNA